rnacentral:snRNA from 1 species
GUGCUCGCUUCAGCAGCACAUAUACUAAAAUUGAA